GUGCUUGCUUGGGCAGCACAUAUACAAAAAUUGGAAUGAUACAGAGAAGAUUAGCAUGGCCCCUGUGUAAGAAUGACAUGCACAUUCGUGAAGUGUGCCAUAUUUUU
ensembl:snRNA U6 U6 spliceosomal RNA